UUGUGUAUGUGUGUGUGUUUUAGAUGUGGAAUCACAGCAGAUCAGUCAUUCACUUCGAAUGGGAACGUAUUAUUGACAGUCAUGUAAUAGAAGUGGAGCCUUCAUCAGGAGAAAUAGAGAUGAAUGAGUGUUUCGAUAUGGAGUUGGCUCUGACUGGAAAGAAUCCAGGUCAUUUUACCUCCACCCUGCAAUGUCACAUUCAGCACCAUCCUAAAACUAUAGGACUGGCCAUUGAGGUCACCUUUAAGGUGUCUGAAUCUAUUUCCCUUUGAUUUAUACUCCAUAUGCUAUGAUGAGGACAUCACAAAUGUUCUCAUUAGCAAAUGAUAGCUCAUUCAAAUGAGUUAUAUAUAAUACGGUUCUCCAGGGUCCGCAUUGCUCAGUGAACUUGCCCAGUCUGGAUUUUGGUUUACUGCAAAUGGGAAGUGAAGGCAUCUCUUCCAUCGAUAUCACCAACAACAGUCCGCUAGAUGCCCAUUGGAGCCUAGAGGAGCUGUCCAACACCAAGCUGCCAAUCCAGGGCCUGGUACAACACCCCAUCUAUGCUUCUGAUUAAAUAUUAUUAUUAUUAUUAUUAAUCAGCACACAGAUGUUUGUGGACUGUAUCCUUUUGCAUGUAUCUGUGUUCAGGUGUACAUGAAUCCAAAUAAAGGUGUGCUGCCUCCCCUGGCGUCCUGCGGUGUGGACGUGGUCUUCAGAGCCCUGUACUGCCAGCGUUUUGAGUCGGUCCUACAGCUUACUGUACUCAACGGCACUGGCUGGUGAGGAAAUAAGACAUAUCAUUUGUCAUUGUGUGUCUGGAAUACUAAGAAAAUGUUACCAGUUAUUGGUUGUGCCACAUAUUUGAAUGAAGGUGUGCAUUGGUUUGUCUUCAGUCACGUCUCUGUCCAAGCAGUCGUCCAGUCUCCUCAGGUGUGCUUGCUGAGCUGUGAGCUGGUGUUGACUGAUCUAUAUGUAGGUGUUCCACAGACGAGCAGCGUUACCCUGUUUAACCAAACACUGCUGCCAGCCCACUUCACCUGGAAUAAGGUGAGAGCGAUUACGUAAUGUGUUUAUCUCAAAACACAGUUGCAAAAUAUUCGAAAAACCCUAGCCAGUGUUGAUAGUUUGGAAAGAACAUGAUAUUGAAUUGUAAUGCGGUCACACUUACAGACAAUAAAGCCAGCCAUUUUUCUUCAUAAAAGGGUUUUACACACACACAAAAAAAAUCUUCUGAAAAACAAGUUUAAAAUCAUAUACAGUUACAUGAGAUGAAAACCCAUGAAUUCAAUAUUUGCUUUGAUUUAAUGUUUUGAUAUUGUAUAGUCUGGACCAAUAUGUUUAGUCAUUCUCAAGGUGUUCACUUCCUUUCAGCUUCAAGGGCCACAAGCUCAUCUGUGCUCUGCAACCUUCAGCCCUUCUGCAGGCACUCUGGAGCCCAACGCCAAGACUGAAGUGUCUGUAUCAUUCACCGCUCACACUGUUGUAAGUACUUCUGCUGUAGUGCUGUAACACCCGCAACCUAAAAUAAAUAGUAUUGUGAAUGCGUUUUUAUGUUUUUAGGAGGAACUGACUAAAGUGGCUGCAGUUUGUGAAGUAAAAGGAAUGGAGAGUCCAUUAUUGCUGGGAUUUUUUUCUAAAGCUAAACCUCUCAGAGUUUCCUACUCACUUCAUUCUGACUGGUAAAGCAACGUUUACCUCAUAUUCAUCUAUCCCUGGUCUUUCUUUAGUCAUUUUUUAAAAAUCUAGA
ensembl:lncRNA